rnacentral:misc_RNA from 1 species
GGCAAGGGUUGUCCAGGGGUACCUGUCCAUUGUUGCCAUCAGCAUCAAGACAGGAAGUGGAACAUUAGUAAGUACUCCAUCUGGCCAUCUUAUGCAAAAAACAUUUAAAUCUUUUUGUUCCAUGUAAGAGCUAGUUUGGUGGACAGUGAAAUGGAGAGGAUCCAUAGAGAAGGAAUCCUCUCGUAUUCAAAAUUAAAUAGCGAGAAGAUUCCUCUCCCAUAAAUCUCCUCCAUUCCCAUGUUCACCGGUCUAUAUAAAGACAUUGAAGAAGACAGCGAAGCAGCUCUCUGCCUCAUGCUGUCCUAGCUAGCUGCCUACAAUCUAGGAAUCUGUCUGUCUACAUAUCAUUGUUGGUGCAUGUGUGUGCCCGGCUGGCCUGUGACCGGAGUCUUGUCUCUCUUCAUUGAGAGAGGAGAGGGAAUCAUGAAUGGAGCAACAGGCAGCUGAUGCAUGGAGCGUUUCUGGUGCACGUGGGCACGAAGAAGCUAUAUCUCACCAAUUGCAUGAAUGCACGCUCUUUCCAGCUUAUGCACUCACUGGACGAGCGAGUAUGCAUCAGGGUGGAUGGCGCGUCACCUUCUCAACUUGGUCACGGCGAUAUAUAUGUGUGAUGCGCAACAGCGACAUGCGUGCUGCUCGCUCGACCAACAGUUUAAUGUGCGCUCGAGUGCUAAUGCAACAACCAAAACAAAGGGGUGGGUUACCAUUCGUUAAUUACCAUGUGUCCGGCUUCGAGUAU